UACGUAGGCAGCAAGCGCUGUUCGGAGUUACUGGGCGUAAAGGGUGCGUAGGCGGCCCUGUAAGUAUGGUGUGAAAUCUCCCGGCUUAACUGGGAGGGUGCGCUAUAGACUGCGGGGCUCGAGUGUGGGAGAGGAAAGUGGAAUUCCUGGUGUAGCGGUGAAAUGCGUAGAUAUCAGGAGGAACACCGGUGGUGUAAACGGCUUUCUGGACCAUAACUGACGCUGAGGCACGAAAGCGUGGGUAGCAAACAGG
rnacentral:rRNA from 1 species